rnacentral:lncRNA from 1 species
CAAAACUCAAUCUUUGGUAGAGGAAGACGACACAACACUCUUUUCACCCCUUGGAGGAGGAUUUUGGAUGUGGGAGCUCCAACCUACCAAAUCUAGGGUUUAUCUUUUCAUUCUUUCCAUUCAAUUCAUCAAGAUUAUGGUGAACUAAACCCUUUGUUGUUGGGGAACAAUGUAAUCUUUUGAAACUCUCAUAUAUUCAAAUUCUUAUUUAUUUCAUAUGUUUGUCAUAUACUUAUUUAUCAAUUGUUGGGUUCUCAUCUAU